rnacentral:rRNA from 1 species
CCCUUAGAUGUCCGGGGCCGCACGCGCGCUACACUGAAGGAAUCAGCGUGGCUUUCUCCCUGACCCGAAAGGGUUGGGAAACCCGUUGAAUCUCCUUCGUGAUAGGGAUUGGGGCUUGAAAUUGUUCCCCAUGAACGAGGAAUUCCCAGUAAGCGCGAGUCAUAAGCUCGCGUUGAUUACGUCCCUGCCCUUUGUACACACCGCCCGUCGCUCCUACCGAUUGAAUGUUCCGGUGAGUUCUUCGGACUGCGCGGUCUGCAGUUUCUGCGUUCCGUGCGGAAAGUUGCGCAAACCUUAACAUUUAGAGGAAGGAGAAGUCGUAACA